UGCAGUCGAGCGGAACGAGUUAUCUGAACCUUCGGGGAACGAUAACGGCGUCGAGCGGCGGACGGGUGAGUAAUGCCUGGGAAAUUGCCCUGAUGUGGGGGAUAACCAUUGGAAACGAUGGCUAAUACCGCAUAAUAGCUUCGGCUCAAAGAGGGGGACCUUCGGGCCUCUCGCGUCAGGAUAUGCCCAGGUGGGAUUAGCUAGUUGGUGAGGUAAGGGCUCACCAAGGCGACGAUCCCUAGCUGGUCUGAGAGGAUGAUCAGCCACACUGGAACUGAGACACGGUCCAGACUCCUACGGGAGGCAGCAGUGGGGAAUAUUGCACAAUGGGCGCAAGCCUGAUGCAGCCAUGCCGCGUGUAUGAAGAAGGCCUUCGGGUUGUAAAGUACUUUCAGCAGUGAGGAAGGCGGGUACGUUAAUAGCGUGCUCGUUUGACGUUAGCUGCAGAAGAAGCACCGGCUAACUCCGUGCCAGCAGCCGCGGUAAUACGGAGGGUGCGAGCGUUAAUCGGAAUUACUGGGCGUAAAGCGCAUGCAGGUGGUUUGUUAAGUCAGAUGUGAAAGCCCGGGGCUCAACCUCGGAAUUGCAUUUGAAACUGGCAGACUAGAGUACUGUAGAGGGGGGUAGAAUUUCAGGUGUAGCGGUGAAAUGCGUAGAGAUCUGAAGGAAUACCGGUGGCG
rnacentral:rRNA from 1 species